UCCAGAGAUUAGAGUUUGAUCCUGGCUCAGGAUGAACGCUGGCGGCGUGCCUAAUACAUGCAAGUCGAGCGAAUGGAUUAAGAGCUUGCUCUUAGGAAGUUAGCGGCGGACGGGUGAGUAACACGUGGGUAACCUGCCCAUAAGACUGGGAUAACUCCGGGAAACCGGGGCUAAUACCGGAUAACAUUCUGAACCGCAUGGUUCGAAAUUGAAAGGCGGCUUCGGCUGUCACUUAUGGAUGGACCCGCGUCGCAUUAGCUAGUUGGUGAGGUAACGGCUCACCAAGGCAACGAUGCGUAGCCGACCUGAGAGGGUGAUCGGCCACACUGGGACUGAGACACGGCCCAGACUCCUACGGGAGGCAGCAGUAGGGAAUCUUCCGCAAUGGACGAAAGUCUGACGGAGCAACGCCGCGUGAGUGAUGAAGGCUUUCGGGUCGUAAAACUCUGUUGUUAGGGAAGAACAAGUGCUAGUUGAAUAAGCUGGCACCUUGACGGUACCUAACCAGAAAGCCACGGCUAACUACGUGCCAGCAGCCGCGGUAAUACGUAGGUGGCAAGCGUUAUCCGGAAUUAUUGGGCGUAAAGCGCGCGCAAGUG
rnacentral:rRNA from 1 species